GACGAACGCUGGCGGCGUGCUUAACACAUGCAAGUCGAACGGAAAGGCCCUGCUUUUGUGGGGUGCUCGAGUGGCGAACGGGUGAGUAACAAGUGAGUAACCUGCCCUUGACUUUGGGAUAACUUCAGGAAACUGGGGCUAAUACCGGAUAGGAGCUCCUGCUGCAUGGUGGGGGUUGGAAAGUUUCGGCGGUUGGGGAUGGACGCGCGGCUUAUCAGCUUGUUGGUGGGGUAGUGGCUUACCAAGGCUUUGACGGGUAGCCGGCCUGGGAGGGUGACCGGCCACCAUGGGCCUGCGGUACGGCCCAGACUCCUACGGGAGGCAGCAGUGGGGAAUAUGGCACAAUGGGCCGAAGCCUGAUGCAGCAACGCCGCGUUCGUGAUGACGUCCUUCGGGUUGUAAACCGCUUUCGCCUGUGACCAAGCGUGAGUGACGGUAAUGGGUAAAGAAGCACCGGCUAACUACGUG
rnacentral:rRNA from 1 species